CCAUGGUGUAAUGGUCUGCCCUCAGGAUUCUGAAUCCUGUAAUCUGAGUUCAAAUCUCAGUGG
rnacentral:tRNA from 1 species